rnacentral:lncRNA from 1 species
CAGACAGGUAGCCCUCUGGCUCACUGGCUCCAGUCUCUGUCAGCAGUAGGAAUAGGUAUGCAAAGAGGGAGGAAGGGUUCUGUUCUCUACAUGAGAGCUCCAGCACAGAGGCCACUCUGCCAGUGGGAGGGGAUUUCACUCUUGGCUUGCAGAGCUGAGCACAGAGAUUGAGCCACUGCUUGGGGGCAGAGUCAGAGCCCUAGGGUCAUGGGCUCUGGAAAGUACACACUUUGCUUUCCUUUGUCCUGGAGUCGGGGAGGGGAUGCCUUCUGGUGCACUGCACACCCUAUUCCCCAAGAUGUAGUACUUCCUAUGAGCUAAAGUACUGGGGACUCUGCAGCACCUUUGGGACCAGCCAAUGCUGUUCUGCCAAAGCCCUCUGUGUGGACACUGGGGAAUGUCAUCAGGAGCUCCUGAGAUGUGGAGAUAUGAGGGCUGUUGUUCCCAGCGCAGGAUGCAGUACCAUGAUGCUGUGCUACCAAAAGGCUCUGUACAGCAGCUGUUCAGGUCUUGGAGAGAGAAACAAGAAUUUGAGAAUCUGUGUCAUUCUGAUGAGCUGUGUGGCCUGGAGAAUGUUCCUCAAUUAAUUCAAGAAUUAUCUGUGGGCUUCUAUUUUGGAAUUAGCACUUUGCUAGAUCCUGGGGAGAUGGAAACAAUAAAGUAGUCCCAGCUACCAAGGAGUUCAGGU